ensembl:lincRNA 9230020A06Rik RIKEN cDNA 9230020A06 gene
CUCCACAGGGAUCGCCACUGCUGGUUGAGCUCCACUGUUUCAAUGGUUCCUGCACCUGCACGAGAAAGCUACACAUCUGCAUCUCCUUGGUCGUGGAGUCCAAGGUGGUUCCCAGCUGCCCAUGGAGUCCUCUUCAGAGGACUGACAAGCUGGAGAUGGAAACUACAUUUGGAGUCCUGCUCCAGGAGGGAAAACGGAAAAACAAGACACUGCCCCCAGAUGCAUCCAGGCAGGAGCUCAUUUCCAUCCCAAAUUGGCUCCAGAGGGCGAAGGCUUCUGGGAGAUACCAGGUUCCUUCUGCAGGAUGAGAAAAUCAGUUCAACAAUCCUCUACCCACACCUCAUCCCUGAACUUUGGAUUUCAUCUUCAGCAGCAUCAAGAGGCAAGCAGCAAAUCGUUGCUUGUAUACCACAAGUGAUGGGGAGCUCAUUACACUGCAAACUUCUCAUCCAGCUUCUGAGCACCAGGAUGCCAUCAGUGUGCUCCAUCGUUGGAGCUGAUGUCGGUUCCCUGAGGGCCACCCUCAUGAGGAUGGAGCUUGGCUCAUCAAUUCAGUCCUGCAGAGGUUUACAAACCAAGUUCAUUUAA